AGAGCACUGCAGAUGCCAUGACUAUGUUGGAUACUGCUGUUUUACAUCCAGCGUUGUAGUUUACAGCUGACCUUGAGAAUGAACCUGGGUUGUAUUUUCCAACAAAAGAACAAGCGAUUUUAUGGUUAGUUUUACAUGUAGCAUGUUGAUUUGACUACAGCCUAUAUAACAAGAAUAGCUACUUGUUGCUAUAUGUACUAAUUUUGUGUUACCACUUGUGAUGUAGCAUGAAGCACACGACCCUGCCAUGUUCAUGGCUCCUAAGGCCACCAUCUCUUUGUUGCCAUCAAUCUGAUAAUUUUUCAGAGAAGCAAAUGUCCUCCCCACAGCCAUUCCUUCCUGUAACCCACAGUAAGUUCGUGCUUGUUAUUUCGAGAGGGAUGAACUCAGUCGUUUUUCCAUUUCAGCAAUGGAAGAUUUUGAAUCUCAAUUUACCAAAAUGAGUUGAAAGGUUUAGUGUGUUACAGUGAGAGCCAAGAUUCCAGUAAUUAUUCCAGUUCUGAUGGCAAGACUCAAGUAGGGGCCUCUAAAGAACAGCAUGUUCACUGAAGGAGGAUCCACCCCUUUCUGCAAAUGCCCAAUCUGUUUAACACCAAGAAGUU
rnacentral:lncRNA from 1 species